rnacentral:rRNA from 1 species
GGUCCAGACUCCUACGGGAGGCAGCAGUGGGGAAUAUUGCACAAUGGGGGAAACCCUGAUGCAGCGACGCCGCGUGAGCGAUGAAGUAUUUCGGUAUGUAAAGCUCUAUCAGCAGGGAAGAAGAUGACGGUACCUGACUAAGAAGCCCCGGCUAACUACGUGCCAGCAGCCGCGGUAAUACGUAGGGGGCAAGCGUUAUCCGGAUUUACUGGGUGUAAAGGGAGCGCAGACGGCAAUGCAAGCCUGGAGUGAAAGGCGGGGGCCCAACCCCCGGACUGCUCUGGGAACUGUAUAGCUAGGGUGCAGGAGAGGCAAGUGGAAUUCCUAGUGUAGCGGUGAAAUGCGUAGAUAUUAGGAGGAACACCAGUGGCGAAGGCGGCUUGCUGGACUGUAACUGACGUUGAGGCUCGAAAGCGUGGGGAGCAAACAGGAUUAGAUACCCGAGUA